UCUCCGUACUAAAUUAUUAAGUACAUAUCACAACCCAAAGCAGCUAGACAUCCAGGCAAAAAACAGUUAAUCUGGUCCGUCUGGUCUGGCUGUCUUCCCGCUACCUACAGCUUCGUGUUCCCUCACAAAAACUGGCACCCUGGUACGUUGGGCCAUUUUGUAUACUUCAAAGGGUUAACUCUGUAGCUUAUGCACUUGACCUUCCU